GACGAACGCUGGCGGCGUGCUUAACACAUGCAAGUCGAACGGAAAGGCCCUGCUUGCAGGGUACUCGAGUGGCGAACGGGUGAGUAACACGUGGGUGAUCUGCCCUGCACUUCGGGAUAAGCCUGGGAAACUGGGUCUAAUACCGGAUAGGAGCCAUUUUUAGUGUGAUGGUUGGAAAGUUUUUUCGGUGUAGGAUGAGCUCGCGGCCUAUCAGCUUGUUGGUGGGGUAAUGGCCUACCAAGGCGGCGACGGGUAGCCGGCCUGAGAGGGUGGACGGCCACAUUGGGACUGAGAGACGGCCCAGACUCCUACGGGAGGCAGCAGUGGGGAAUAUUGCACAAUGGGCGCAAGCCUGAUGCAGCGACGCCGCGUGGGGGAUGACGGCCUUCGGGUUGUAAACUCCUUUCGCUAGGGACGAAGCUUUUUGUGACGGUACCUAGAGAAGAAGCACCGGCUAACUACGUG
rnacentral:rRNA from 1 species